CAGGGCACUGUUUGAAAAGGUGCUUUAGCCAGUGUGUCUUUUGGGGAAGGGAACAUUGAUCUGGGUCUCAAAAUAUGAACUGUCCCCAGGAUGAGCCUGCAUGGAAAGCACAGGAGAGCAGGCGUCUGCGCAGAGGAAGACAAGACAAAGCUCCCAGUCCAGUUCCGGCUGCAGUCCUGUUCUCCCCAGGAGGUUGCCUCUGUGCUGCUAAUUACAGCGCAGAAAGGAAACAGGAAAGUGAGCGCUAAUGAACUGAUUUUUCUUUCUCUUCCCCAGGUGCCUUUUUUUUCUCUUUUUUCUUUUCUUCCAGAGAACUGAUCCUUUGGAUUUAGAAGCCUGGGGCCUGGCAAGAUCGGACCUAUUAAGCCCAGCUGAACAAGCACUUUCUACUGUCAGGUCAUGGCUAGAAGAGUGUCUGCACCAGGCAGUGGGGUGUGUGGUAUGGGAUGAUGCUACCGGUGUGGAAUGUAACAGCAUCACCAGUCCCAGACAACUCACAUUUGGACAGCAUCCCACGACUUACAAAAGGCUUUUGUAUAUCUCAUCCCACUAAGUGCUCACAGACGUUCAUGGAGAAGGGCAAGGGAGCUCAGAAAAGAGGCUGUCAUCAUGGAUCCAUUUAUGAGGAGGAUUUGGGUAGAGAAGAUUCAACAGGCGUCAGAAUGGAGAUAACAAUCCGAGGAAUGACUGGGGUUGGCAGUCUGACCUGGGCCCCUUGUUAAAAGUGGAGGCCUUGUGGGUCACUUUUGCUAAGAAGCCUAUGUAUUGAUUGUAUCAGCAAACUGAAUGCUGCCCCCUUUCCCCGCCCCCUUCCAUCCUGGUAUUCCCAGGGGCGAUGGACAGCUCCUGAAACCAAUGGAACAGUCUGGCCACCAGUUCGCAAAGGCCAGUGGUGUGAACAUUAAAAACCUAAGAUGGUUUUACAAACAGGGCUGGUAAGGGGAGUUCUGUGCAUACAGAAUCAUUACUUUUGUUAAGAGCAGGUUUGCACCAGGACUUCCUAGUGUGGCCUCUGUCUUCUGUGCAAAAAUUACGUUCCCUUGGGAAAGGUUCCCUCACAGUGAUGCUGGAAAACUCAAUGUUGCACCCUCUUCUCAAAUCCAUACAACAAGCCACAGACCUCAGUCCUCUUUACUGGCCCACGGGUGGUGUCAGCAGCUGAGGAAGGUCAGCCAGCACUGGUCAGAAUGUACUGUCUUUAGGAGAGGAGAAAGAAAAAUCGCAGGGAGAAGGGAAUGUGGUGUUUAGGUGACAACUUUAGAGUCCUUCCAUAACAGUCAAUGCACCCCCAGUGGAGUCUUGAGGUCUGUGUCCCCAGGAUUGUAUUACCGUCAGCACUUGGCUCAAUGGGUGUAGCGCCUGGCCUCGGGUUCCACAGAAAUGGAAUAGUAGGGAAAGCAGGUGUUUUGAGCCUGCAGUGGCCUUGGGAGUUCAUGCAAUUCACCCAGAGGGACAGAACUGCUCACACAGCAGGAUGAGGCAGUGACUAAGCCAGUAGACGUUACAUGCCCAAACACGGUCUUUGGCUUUAACGUGAGUUUCUAUAAAUCCCAAUUGUCUAACAUUGCUAUGCAGGGGGCCAAGUGUACACGGGUCACCCACUUCUAUCUUAAGGAUCCCAGGAGCUAUGGCUCCUGACAGAGCACAAGGGGCAAGACACGGGUCACUGUGUCUUGUCUCACCCAGAAUCACAUUAGUUGAGCUCAUGUUUUUCGUUCUGAC
rnacentral:lncRNA from 1 species